rnacentral:misc_RNA from 1 species
GAAGUUAUGACAAGCAAUCCCAAUGCGCCAAUAAGAAUGUACUUGAUAAUAGGCUUUUCAGUCAUGAUAAUUGUCACCCAACCAACAUAAGGUAAGAACCCAACAGCUCUCCCCAUGAUAUGGUGCCGCUGCAGCCACAGUUGACCUUGAGCAUACAAAAGCCUGUCAUCCCCAUAAUUAUUAUCUCCUUUUGUGAGGACCUCAACUUCCCCAGUAUCUUGCCUUUCAUGGACCUUGAUUACACGAUGGACAAUUGGGAUUUCGCGGCCAUCUACAUUGAAAACAACAAUCUCCCCUGCACGAAUAGGAUCUUUACUCAUGUGCAAAAACAAAAUAUCACCCCUCUUAAAGCCAGGUUCCAUACUUCCAGAUAGAACAACCACCACAGGAGACUCACUACCAGUGAUGCACAUCAACGCCUUCCAUAUUAUUAGCGCAGAUGUAACAAUCAUUCCUAGACUGACAGCCUGAGUGAGAAGCUGACGGAUCUGGAUGGAUUUAAUGGAAUCCACGGUAUCUCCGAUCCACCCCAUUUUUGCUUCAGUUUCUUCGCUUUGCUUUCCUCUCUUGUUGUCCUCUGCGUUUUCGAAGUCUUUAAGACCAGCUUUUG